UGGGUACAAGUAGCUUAAUUGCAUACCAGUUUUUUCUUUUCACUCUUCCCCAUCUCCUGCCAGCCUCCCCUCCUCCUGCCAGUUGGGCUAUCUGCCUUAGUGCCAACUGCUUUUCUCUGGAAUCCUUGAGUCAAGAAGGCAGCAGGACAAUAUACAACAGCCCAGAUGCAGGAAUAGCCUGGUAGAGAGAGACUCAGGAGGACAGGCAUGGUGCAGAAGGAAAAUUUACAAUCGUGGGCCUGGGCCUCCUUCUUAUUGCAUUUUACACGGAGCAAGCUAGAUUGAGUUACAGCUGAGUUCCCCUCUGCUUUACCGGCGCUGUUUCCAGACCCAAGGAUCGCAGGAUGGAUUAAUUUCAAGAAAAAACCAAAGCUGGCUUGGGAGAUUGGAAGAGGAAACAGAACCGUCUUGCACCUCUACUUGAGUAUAGAUUGAAGCUCACACAAGUUGUGCAACAUCUGUUGGGAAUCAGCAUGGAGCAGCCCGAUGUGAUUGCUGAAGAAGCACUGUGACGGGUGCAGGAAGCAUCUCCCCCACAGCUUACAGGCCUGUGCCCUUCCUGGGGUAUCUUGUGGCCUGUGGAAAUCAGUGACAUUGAACAUACAGAGCAAUCGAUCCAGUCAGCUGGUGAGGAUGUCCUGGUAUGUACCAAGAGAGAAGGCAAAGCUAGACCAAGAGAGAGGAACCAUCCAGGUGGAUAUACAUCUUCCUAUGCAGCAAGAGUGCUUGCAGUGUGAAGGUCCAGCAAGGCAACGUGGAUGAGUUUCACUCUGUGCUUUGGUUAAGUCUGCCAUUGACUCCAAUGGGGUUUGGAUCAGGUCUUCCAUUCAGAUCCUGCAAAAGCUGGUAGAUUCAUAAGAAACCUGGUUUAUUUAUUGAUUUAGCCCUCUGCCCCUAUAUCCCACCUCCCUUCAACAGGAUUUCUGGGACCAUGUCUCCUGUCAACAGCCUCCCAAAGUCCUUAGAACCCCAGUUUCCUUUAGCUUUAACUGCUUUUUUAGGAGGAAGGAAGCAGUUGCCUAUCAACCUCCCAGGGAUCUGUAGAGGCUGGAGCUUCAAGGGGCAACUGGUUGGCCUGAUCCCCCACUCUGAACUGGUUAGUCAGCAAAGAUCUAUUGGCCCCUCUAAUCCAUGGGAAAAUUCUUCAGGGCCAACAGUCCACGUUCCCAUCCAGUAGCAGGAGUCAGAAAUGUCCCUGCA